CCCACAGAACCUCCACCAACUGACAGUUUCUCUUCUUGACUUGCCACCCAUCGCUGGAUGUUGUCCACUUUAUCCACCAUAUAAAACAGUAAGCAGCUGCUAAAAACAAAAAAAAAAAAAACAAAAAAAAUACAAAAAGUAAUAACAUUAUAUGAACUGUGUUUCCUACUUGAUUAAAAAAUAUAAAGAACUGAGUGUUUAUUUCCCUAAUUAACCAAGAACUUUUGUACACGUUUAAGCUAUUAUUAUUAAAAGUGUUUGCAAAAUGGUCAAGAUUAUAAUAUUGCUGAAUUAUAUAAAAGUCCUUUUCAUGUUGAGCUAACAUUUGACUUUAGCACAAAAAAGAGAUAUUUUAGAACACGUAAAAUAAUAUUUUUAGUUUUUCUCAUUUUGUUACCAAAUUUCAAACCUUACAUGGAGGUUAUUAUAGUAUAUUUGACACCCUAUAUACCUGUGAUUAGAGAUGUGUAUAUAUAUGAGGGCUAGGCAUGCUGUGUGUCUGAGCUUUGUCUAAAUGUUAUGCAGAAGUUUGUAGAGUUAAAGGUACGUAGGUUUAAUUCAUGCAAGGUAAACAAUAAGUGCUCUCUUUUAUACAAUAUGCAUUGCAUCUGGACCUUAAACAUAAAAAAAUGGUCAGUGAAACUUCUGUGAACAUGAAGAAAUUAUUAAAAAAGGCAUUUAAAUGAAAUUUGCUAAGUUGUGAUUUUUAUGGUUGGAACCAAAGUUAUUCAAAUAGUGAAAGAAAAAAGAGAAAGAAAAGGAAAUCUCCCAUAAUAUUUUUCUGCAUCUGUUUGCUUUGACUGAGUAGGCGUUUUGUCAUUAUUGUGUAUAUGAGAUGUACUUGUAUUGUUCAUAAUAUAUUUUUUUUAUUAUGUGUAGAAAGAUUUUAAAAACUAACGUGCAGCAAUUUCCAGUGAACCUGUUCUUGGACAUCAGGUAGUGAGUCUAUUUGUGGUCACUAGCACUGUCUCCUAAACUUGUAAGAAGUCUGAAGCUACCCUUUGAUUUUUGCCAGUGCUAUUAACUUAUGUAGACCUGUUAAAAAGCAGAGCAACACAAUUAUAGUUAUCCUACUGAGCCAUGGAUUCUGAGCUUCAUUUUAAAAGUGAAAGCCAAGUUGGUGUAUGUAAAGGAUUUCCAUGUAGCUGUGGUGCUAGUUAUUACUGGCUACAUUAUAUGCUAAUGUAUUUGUGUUCCCCAAGUGUACAAGCCUUUUAUCAAAAGUAUGUUCUAUAACUCAUAUAUUCAAGGUGUAGGGUAUGAAAAUGCAAAGCUUAGGAGAGCACUUUACAAAGCUGGUGUCCUCCAAACUGAAAUUGUUUGUAACGAUAGUCUUUUACAGGUUUUCAUUUAAAGAUGUUCGUGUGCUUUUAAUUGACAACUAACUUCUUGCUGCUGUAUAGUAAAAUAUUAAUAUAUUUUUAUCAUUAAACUGCUGCAUGACUAUCAUCUUUGAGUGAAGAGAAAAUGUUAUAAAAAAAAGAUGCCUUAAACAGUACAUUUUGGUUUGGAAUUCUGUAGAAAGUAUUUUGGUUUAAAAAAAAAAAAAAGGAUCUUGUCUGACAUAGAGAGUUCUGGGGAUGGAAUUGUUUUCUUGGCAAAUCCAGCCGUGUAGAUCUAACUGCUGUAUGUAGAAGACACCACCUGUAGGAGCUGGAAGGGAUCAUGCUUCUCACAUUGUAAAGCAUUGGCCUAGGAAGGUGAAAAAGUUGUCUUUUUGAAGGAUUUUUUUUUUUUUUCUGCUGGUUCUUUGGGUUUUGAGUUGGUAUUUUUAAGCUCCCUGGUUGAGUGUGUUGUCUUUGUUUUUGAGAUCUACUGUAUGUGUUGAAUAACAAGCUAUUUCCAUUGUACUGUGCAUUUUCCCAUUAAAUUGUUUGCUUUUAAUAUUCAUACAAUGUUAAAUAUGAGGUGACCGUAAAAUAGUUAGGAGUUUCUUUACUUACAAAAAUCACUGGAAAUGAUUAAAUUGCUUUUCCCUUUCCCCCAAGGUGCAUUUUUCUUUCCAUAUAGUAAAGUUGAGCUUCUACAGUGCAUAAUGUGACAUUUGGAAUGCUUAUCAACUGCAUGUAAACAUUAAUAACCUGCACUUUUUUGUCUUAAGGUUUGUUGAGCUGUUUUGUUCACUGUACUUUAACUGUGAUAUGGAAAAGACUGCAUUCUCUGUGCUGUUACUAGUUAGGAAAGAGAAUUGCUUUGAUUUUGUCUCUUGUUUACUAUAGCUUCUUGAAGUUAAGCCUUGUACUACAGGUUGUUGGAGUACUCCUAGAUCAGUGUUUCAUGGUAGCCAGCAAUAAGUAGUGCAAGUCAACAAAAACACAGCAAACUUAGGCAAAGUGUCCUUUCUUUGAGAUGCGAGUUCUUUCAUGAGGUUUUCUUUAGGGUCCGAGUUACCUAAAGUGAAGCCUUUCUUACCUAUAGACUCCAGAUUCUGCUUGGAAUCCUACCGGAUCAAGAAGCACAUGCAUUGUGCAAUUGUCUUCACACUAUAUAACAGUUAAACACAAUCUUACUAAGAUUUUGAAACCAGUGUCUGAUUUAUGGUCAGUGGGUUUAAAAAGAAAUCCACAUGCAGAUCUUUUAAGACUUAAGACGUGAUCAUAGAAAAGACUAUUGACUGUAAAGAUGCUCUUUUUUUGCAUCUCACUUUACCUCCCCAAGUAUCCUCCCAGCCUUCCCUUCUCCCCUCUCCUGCUCCUUCCUUUUCUCACCCCCCACCCCAGGUGCUCAGUACUUUACCAUGGUUCUAUAUCUCAGUGGUGGGUGGGAUGGGGGGAGAUCUUUGAGUCAACAACUGACAGAAAUGUCUUCAAAUUUAAAAAUUGAGAAUCAGCACCUUAUUUAAGUCUAACUGUACACCAUUUUAGUGCAUGUUAUUAGUUUUAAUGAUUUUUUGGUGCAUGCCUUUGGGCUUAUUCAAAAGUGUACAAUAGGAAAGUAUAUGUAUUUCCUUUCUUAGAAAGGAGAUGUUUUUCUACUUUGCAACAUGUGAUUACAAAAUCUUCCUCUGUGGGAAGAUUAACCAUGUAUUGAACUACUGAAAAGUAUAUAUUUUUAGAUAUACAGAAGGAAUCUACAUGGAGCAGCAUUCAGACCUAUAUAGAAGUCAUAGCAUUCUGUAUAGGACCAAAAAGGAAAUAACAUUAAACACUUAAACAGACUUUGUUGGGUAGAAAUACCUUUAGAUCUUGCAUUGACUUCCACAAAGAAAAUGCCGCAGAAGUUUGCUGAAAACUUUUGUCGUUUGAAUUUUCUCUGUCAGUGUAUUUAGCCCAAACAGAACAGCUUUGGGUUAACACAUACAUAAG
rnacentral:lncRNA from 1 species